rnacentral:rRNA from 1 species
UGGGGAAUAUUGCACAAUGGGCGAAAGCCUGAUGCAGCAACGCCGCGUGAGUGAUGAAGGCCUUCGUGUUGUAAAGCUCUGUCUUCUGGGACGAUAAUGACGGUACCAGAGGAGGAAGCCACGGCUAACUACGUGCCAGCAGCCGCGGUAAUACGUAGGUGGCAAGCGUUGUCCGGAUUUACUGGGCGUAAAGGAUGCGUAGGCGGAUACUUAAGUCAGAUGUGAAAAUCCCGGGCUUAACUUGGGAACUGCAUUUGAAACUGGGUAUCUAGAGUGCGGGAGAGGAAAGUGGAAUUCCUAGUGUAGCGGUGAAAUGCGUAGAGAUUAGGAAGAACACCAGUGGCGAAGGCGACUUUCUGGACCGUAACUGACGCUGAGGCAUGAAAGCGUGGGGAGCAAACA